rnacentral:ncRNA from 1 species
ACCCUAUUGGGGUAAAAAUUGCCAUAAAAUUUAACGCGGGUGUAAAAACUGGCUUGUGGCAGCAAAGCGCUCAUAGCGGCAUUGCUUUUCGAUCCUUUGAUAUCGGCCUUCCCCAUACUGAAGCAGCGUUGGCUGCUCAUCCACUAAUAAGGGGUGUGAGCCGCGUAUAGACCAUCGUGAGACAGGUUAGUUUUACCCUACUGAUGAAAUGUUGCAAUAGUAAUUGGACUCAGUACGAUUCAUUCGGACAGUUGGUACCUGGAUCUGCCUGAGCAGGCAAUGGUCCAAAGCUGCCGUCCGUUGGGUUAUGGCUGAAUGCUUCAAAGUCAGAAUCCGUGCUUGAGCGCGACGAUUACCGCCUUUUAUGGUUUUUAGUUGAAUACGAACAGAUCUUUGGAUCCUCAGUCAUGUUACCAAGGGUGCAUUUGUGGAGCGGAAAGGCUUCAUGACUGUUCUGCAAUGCCAAUUUCGGAUAUUAGUCAAUAUAAAUCCAUUGCAAACGAAUUUAGUUGCACGGGGUAUUGUCAGCUGUAAAUAGCCUUGCCGCUACAAUCACUUGAGAUUAUGUCCAUUGUUCUAUAGAUUU